AUUGAACGCUGGCGGCAUGCUUUACACAUGCAAGUCGAACGGUAACAGGCCGCAAGGUGCUGACGAGUGGCGAACGGGUGUGUAAUGCAUCGGAACGUGCCCAGUCGUGGGGGAUAACGCAGCGAAAGCUGCGCUAAUACCGCAUACGAUCUAUGGAUGAAAGCGGGGGACCGUAAGGCCUCGCGCGAUUGGAGCGGCCGAUGUCAGAUUAGGUAGUUGGUGGGGUAAAGGCUCACCAAGCCGACGAUCUGUAGCUGGUCUGAGAGGACGACCGGCGACACGGGGACUGAGACACGGCCCAGACUCCUACGGGAGGCAGCAGUGGGGAAUUUUGGACAAUGGGGGCAACCCUGAUCCAGCAAUGCCGCGUGAAGGAAGAAGGCCUUCGGGUUGUAAACUGCUUUUGUACGGAACGAAACGGCUCUGGUUAAUACCCGGGGCUAAUGACGGUACCGUAAGAAUAAGCACCGGCUAACUACGUGCCAGCAGCCGCCGUAA
rnacentral:rRNA from 1 species